UUUGCCCCCGUUUCUCACUCUUUCCUUCUCUCCAUUUUGUCUCUUUUCCUCCUCUUUUCCACCUCUGGGCCACUUCACCCAUUUUUACUCUGUUCACCCUUCUCCGUGCAAAAAACUGUUAGCCUGAAUUAGUGGAAGGAGCUUAAAUUUCUUUCCAUAUGCUCAUUGGAUUUCAUCAUAGACAGCAUAUAAAGAUGUCCAAACUAGCUGCACCAACAACCCCUGGAUACAGCAGUGAAUGGAGGAGGAAACCACAGAGCCUGGCCAACCACCCAGCCAAACCCCGUCCAGGAUACAACACUUGUCAGCCAGUGAGAAUUCAUCAGAUUUUUCCAGUUCAGUUGCCAAGGAGAGACCCAGAAGAGACACAUUGAACAACACACAGUAUCUCAAACACUAACUGUUGCUUUCAGACACCAGACUUCAGUGAUUAAGCACAGAAUUAGCCUAAUUAAUUGUUUUGCUGCCAUCUAUUAUAUACAUGCCUAUAUACUUUACAGUACUAUUAAAGUGGUGUAUUCUAUUAUAGUAGUCAAUUGAGUUUGUACCCAUAUUCACUCAUAAGUUAUAGCAUACCACAGUAACUGUAUUUCAAAAAAGAAAUUUGUUUUAUUUAAAUUAAUGUGCCUUGUGGCAUUGAUGCCACAAAUUUACCUGCACUAUGGAAAUUGAGUAUAGCAGUGAAAGUAAUAUUAGCAUAACUCUGUUUCAUGUGUUUGGGUAAAUUUUGAAAGCCUUUGACAUCUAUGUCCUUCUCUCCUUCAUUCUGUGCUGGCAGAUAUUUCAUCUUGAUUUAAUUUUGA